CCGACCCAACCUAGACCCAGUAUAUGGACCCAAACAGCCAAACACGUAUUGAUUAUUCUCCUGGGUCCCAACUUAAGUGUCUGACUCUGUGAGACCAUGACUUCAUCGUAACCAAAUCACUCGCUUAGCCUCUUCCGGUCCCAUUCGCAUUCCCAGUUCCUUCCCCUUCCCAAUCUUUUUCUAAUCAAUCUCCCUUGCCAAACCCCCGAUCCUACUGCAAAUCGAUCUCUUUGACUUCCGGCGACUUUGGCAUCCGGCAACUUUGGCGUCCGGCGAGGAGGCAACUUGGGCAUGCUCGAUGCUUUGUCCCUAGAUAUACUCUCUUCCUGCAUGCUCUACAGAUAAAUAUAAUAUUGAACAGUUGCUAUCCAGAGUGAUGUCAUCAUAGUUGAUGAUGCUUCAAGGCGUUUGAUGAUACAACAGGUGCAUUUUCUAUUUAGUUGCUAUGGUAUCACAUGCAGCUGGGUCGAUG
rnacentral:lncRNA from 1 species